ACGGGCAGAUAUCUUCUCUCGGAGAGCCUGAGGGGAGCCGUGCGGCGUCUGCGGACGGGCGCAGCCGAGGGCGCCGCCGAGCGGCCAUCGCGGGGAUCCGGUCCUCCGGGAGACGGCGUGUCACUGAGGGUUCUGAGCAGAGGAGGGAUGUGCUGGAUUUAUGUUCUACUGCGCGGAAAAUAGUGCAUGGGCGGCGGGAGUGGAGGCGGGGAGAGCCCCGGGAGCCUCGCGAUGAGCCGGGGCAGGGGCGCGGGUGGGCGGCGUGGGGCUGCUGUGCAGGGGAAGCUGCCGGCUCCCCACACCUUCUGGCGCUGACGCUGGAAGGACUCGUCGAAGGGAUGCGUGUAGGAUGUGAGUGAGACGGAUCCACGAUGACUUCGAGGUUUGGCCUGAGUGACUAAAGGAUGGAGUCGCCGUGUACGGAGCUGGACGGGGCCGCGGGUCUCCUGCAGUCUUGUGUGCGUUCAGUGCUGCUCGUCUCCGCGGGAACCACUGCGGACAGGUCCGGGCGGAAGACAGCGCCAUGAACUUUGUGAAGGGUUUAGUAGGUACCACUGUAUUGGGUGUUUUAUAUACAUGAUCUCAUUUCUUCUCCACUAAAAAACCUACUAAUUUCUUUUUCUUUAAUUAAAAGAAAUUAUUUUUUUAGGUAAUGAAACUGAGACCGAGUGGACCAAGAAGCGGUCCCAGGUCCACCGAGUCGAAAGUGGCGGAGACUUUCCAGACUCAGGGAGUCCAUUCGGCUCUCAGGUUCGGUGUCUGCGCUGAGCCACAUUCUUUGCCCAGCUGUGUUCUCUGUGCUUCCAUGGCCCAGCCCAGCCCCUCCCUGCUGUCCCCAGAUCAUUGUGAGACAUACGCGGAGGCACAGCCUGCUGUGGAGGAGGCAACCGCCAACUCUUCAUCUCCAGGCCCUUCCGGUCUCUUGACAUCUCUACCGAGUUGUAAACUCAGUCGCCCUGUGGAAUCCAUAGAAGACUCUGUGCAUACGAACAGUAAAGUGCUCCUAUACACUACUUCCUUUGACUUUUCCAUCUCAGGAGUUUUCCGUGUCCGUGCAUUUGCUGACCUGGAUGCCUUACUCUUACCCCUCCACCUCUGCUGCCAUUUGGAAUCCUACGUAUCAUCCAAGAUUUAUCUCAAAUCCUAUCUCCUCCAUGAAGGAAUUUGCCGGGGACCCCCAGCUUGAAGGCUCUCUUCUUCUUUUCAGCCUCUUAACAUAUACCUCUCUUGUGGUAUUUAUCAGGACACUUAUAGUUUGGUUAUUUCUCUUCUUAUGUAGUGGAUAUGAGUUUACAACUACAAAUUCAGAUGGUCAAUAAAUGUCAACUCAAAAACCA
rnacentral:lncRNA from 1 species